GCACCACCCCACUAAUUUUAAGUGCUGAUGAUUUUUCUGUCUGGGCUGGAGUCAGCUGGGGACCAAGAGCCAUCUGGGACUGAACGAAACUCAGGGUUUCUCAGAGCUUCUGCUGUAAAGAGUGUGACAUAAACACACCCUAAAACUGAAGCACAGUCCUCUGAUCUACCUUGGGGAUUAGCAAGGAACACUGCAGGCUGUGGCUGGGGACUGCUUAAGCUUUACUGGAAGCUAUGAGGUCUGUCCAGGUCCCCUGCAUCAGAGGUACAUGGUGGAGUUUUCCCAACUGGAAACCUGUGCUGGGGCUCGAGCUGGACAGCAUUUUGGGAAGGUAUGAGUGAUGUGGGAUACCUGAGAUCCUGUUGAGGCCUAUGAGGUAUGUGGGGACUCUUGUCAGCUUGCUAAUGUUGAAGGUCAGAUGCUUGAGCUCUGAGUGGGGUAAAGAAAGACUUUUAGACAGUCAAGGAGGCUUUCUUGUUGUCCUGAUCUCCCAAAAAUGUCAUAUUAAAGAAAUUAUUAGACCUGGUGUCUUGAUGGAGGAAUAGUGCUCGGGAAUAAGUAAGCAAAGUGAGCAGGGUCAGGCUUAUGAGUGCACCAUCUCGGGACAGUCAGCAGGCAGGGCAAAAGUGACUUAUCACCUGAAUGGAAGGGAAUGGUGUCUACAGAAGAGAGCUCUUUGCAGGCAGCUUUUUUUGGUGUGUGUGCUAAAGUCUGUUGUUUGAGGAAGAGCAAACAGACCCCUGGCACGGGUGAAUUCCACAUGUGAGGCUCUGUGGCUUGGAGCACCACUGAUCACAUUGCUCACCCCGUGGAUCGAGUCUGAGUCAGCACUUUCCACAAAGUGUUCAGUGAGGAGCACUCUGAUCUCUUAAUAAAUAUUAGCAGUACAGUAACAGCAGUGCAGUGCAAUGUUCAACAGUCAGUUACUUGAAGGGCUGCUUUAUCAAGUAAGAAUGUGUAAAAGAUUUUCUUGGAUUCUUGUGUCAUUGCUUAGGCUGGAAUGGUUGCUGCAAGAAUCACAGUGUUAACUCUGGCUAUAUCCCAAGCUGAGUAAAUGUAAUUUUUAACCAUCUACACUGAGGGUUGAAUUUUCUGAAUGCACGUCUACACGGUGCUAAAUGCAACAUUAAAAAUGGUGUGUGCCCAUGGCAUUGACAAUCUCUGUUGACUUUAUGGGGAAACACAGUGCCUCAAAUAGAACAGAACUACCUCUCCAUGUUCUUUUUUUACUCCCUCAUCCCACCCAGACCUGCUCUCUGGUAAAAGGUAAAACUCUGCACCGUUUAUUCCUGUUGUGAACAGCUGCUGUACUUUAAGAAAGUAACUGAAAUCUUCUACUCACUCAGUUGAAUGUGACAUUCUUCCGAAAAUCAGCCCAGGUUCACUCCAGGGUGGCUGCCUCUCCCAGUUGGGUGAAGGAGUAAUUCUGCUCUUUAGUUUGCACCAAGGUGGCAGAAAGCAGACGUGGAUUUGAGCACUGCUGUCUCACACUGAGCAGCAUGAGAAUCCUUUUUGAGAAGCCUGGUUGCAACUGUGAGGAGCUGCUGGUGGCUCCAGCCACUGCUUGCUGUGAGCAGAGGUGACUUCUGUACCUCUCCUGUUGCCAAGGGUUCUGGUGCUGACUGCAAGCAGUUAUCACUGUUUUCCUGCUGCUGUUGCAGCCGUUUUUGCUUGGCACCAGCAGUCAUCUCUACCUAGCUGGCAGGUUUGGAGGGCCCUGGAGGUGUAAUGCAGUGCUGUUGCAACAGAAUUCUAGAUGCCUGAUUGAAACUAACCAAGCCAACAUAAGAAUUAAAUUCCUUAUACAGAAGUCAUUACCACAGGGGAGUGCAGUUGUAGUGAAAGCAUUUGAGGCUGCAAGGAAAGAUCACAUUAAAAUGUUCUUCAGUGAUGCACAAAUAGGUAGUCAGCACCACCUCAGAACACCCAAUUCUUGAGUGGGUACUUGAGGAGCUUACUUUUCCUGGCUUAUUCUACAUCAUGGGAAAAAAAAAAGGAGAUUGGGUCAUUUUAUUCUGGAAAGCAUUUUUCCUGUCUCUUUGGCUGUCACAUGUAUUUAACUUUAGUGCCCUCAAGGACAAUGUGGUGGAUCAGCAUGCUAAGGUCUACAGUCUACAGCCUGUAGUUUUUCAUUUCACAUUGCUUUAAGAAUGGUCCUCUUUGUUUCCAUUUUGAGCCACAGCUGAAUUCUUACAUGUUGUCUGAUCUUCAGGCUCAAAUACCCAAGAGAAUAGGCAGCAGUGAAUCAACCCUCUGUGUGCUUUCUAGCAGGUAGUCUAGCAAAGAAGGCAGUAUGCUUCUUAUUUCUUUAAAUUGAUCAGGGUUUGAAGGAAAAUACUUUAAUAAAAGUCUCAUGAAUGAUUAUUUUCUUCCUGCUGAUGAUUCUGAAUUUCAUGCAGAAAUAUAAGAACCUUUUAAGAGACCCCUGUGGGUUUAAACCCAAUUCUUUAGCUUUAUAAUUAAAGCUCAUUGUCUUUAUGCUAUCCUACACCUUAUGAGGAGGAUCACCUUUCUAAUUACACAGUACCAGGAGGUCUGUCACAUGCUUUUGCUCAGCAUUAUGGUUCACAGUUGCUCUAUUUUUUUUCUUCUCCUUCUCCUUCUUCCAUAGAUUCAAUAUUAUGUUUUGGAAAUUGAACAUAAUGAUUUUUUUUUUUUCUUGAGGCCAGAUGUUUCGCUCUGCUCUGUUAAGUCAUAUUGACAUAUUGCCAUGAAAUAGAAACAACUGCUAGUUUUAACAUUGCUCUGUAUCUUUAUUAAGAGGUAUGUCUCAUGAAUCUUAAUUCCCCACAUAUAUGCUAUCUUCCUUUCUCCUCCCCUCUCCCCCAUUACACUUCUUUCUUUUCCUGCCUAAAGAAGGAGGAAUAUUAAAAUUUCCUUGCUGUUCUGUCUGAGUGGUUAAUGAGGUUCUAGAUAGCGUAAUGAAUAUGCAGCGCUAUUGAUUCCGUGCGCGCGCGCGCGUGCGUUUGUGUGUGCGUGUCUUUAAUCACAGCUGGAAUGCAAAAUCAGGCUCCACCUUUCAACUCUAUCUCCAUCAUGCUGAGAGAGUGAGAGAGAGCGAGACUGAGACUGCUAGACAGCUCGAAAGAGAUUGCAGCUCAGAUGUCCUGGAAAACAGCAAAUCCCUCAGACCUGGCAGAUUCCGUUACCAUGAGAACUGCAGAUAUUUCCAUUGUGAUGGCUUGCUCUAGCAGCCAUCUGUUACACCCAUUUGAUUAGGAAGUACAGUUCAGCUUGUAUGGGAUUUUCACUGCACCUUAUCCCAUGGCAGCAUACAGAAACUCUCUCUCUCUCUCUCUCUCUUUUUAUAUGCUAAACUCAAUGUUUUUAAAGUGCUGUAAUUUACUGGGGCUGAAGGCAUUUAAUGAAAUGCUGGGAGGAGGUCACUGAGGGACAGUAUCUCUGAGAAGAAAGAAGCACAUGAGAUAUGUGAAGGGGAUUAGCAUCCAGUAUAUAAAUAAGAUCAGCCCAGAAAUUAGCUGUAUUUAGCAAUUCCUCAUCCUUGCCAGGGAGAGGAGCUUGAUAUACAGACCUCAUGAAGCCAUAAUAAAAUUAGUAAUUGCCUCCUGUUAGUUAAUCCCACUCCAUAUAUAUUUAUUGUAUGCCUGAAAUAAAUGCAUACAGCAGAUAUAUUUCAGGUCUUCUGUAAAAAAGGCGAAGGUGAUGACUCUCCCCAGAUGCCUGAAGUGGUGCAGUGGCUGCACUGUGUAACGAUUAGAUUAGCUCUAAAAAUUUAAUGGUGUCAUUUGACUUUUCAUAGACGCAGAACAACCUUAAACUUUCUUGGAGGUUUUCUGUGAUUUACUGAUUAAAACAAUUGUUUGGAGUAGUUGAGUCCCUCGGUGUAAAUUAGUGGUGAAGGAAAUGGUAAUGGCACAUCAAAUGGAUAUAAAAACAAAGGAGUCCCCUUCAAUUAAAACUCUCCAGACAUUCUUCCUAAGUGGCUGGCAUUCCAGAUUCAGGGUAAUCUUAUGUGUGGCAUAGUUGCCUCGAGUAUCUUAAAAUGACUGAAGGUCUUGUAAACUCAGUGAAGCUAAUUAAAUGCUCACACACUGAAAUGAAUUUCUGAUUGCUGCUAAGGAGGCAUUGAGGUCAGCUCCUCUUUUCAUUGCCCACACUUUAUGGCCAAUGCCAGAUACUAAAUAAAUCAGAUCCUCAGAAUCAGGGGCUCUGUGGUUUUGUUCCUCUUAUACAUUCUCCCACCCGGCUGAACAUAAUUCCUUAUCCGUCUUCAUCUCGGCAUGAAAAGUUUUCUCUUCUAUUGUUUUUCCUCACAUAGCACCAGAUUACCAUGGAGAAGACUAUGAUAUCAUAAGAAAUGAAUGAGCAUGUUUCUCACCAUGGGUGAAAUAUACAUUCCAGACCUAAUAAAGUCAGGAAUCAUGCAAUGGGCCUGGUAAAAUGAGCUGCUUAGUUAGUGUAAAUAGAAAUGGUUCUUCUUUAGGUCUCUGCUUCAGCAAAGUAAGUUCUUAGGCACAUGGAGACACAUAAGAACAUGUUUAAUAGCUUUUUGGAAUAGGGAUUGUUCUUAAAAUGUUUUGCUGCAUCUGGGCCCACAAACUCUUUUCUCAAAAAAGACAAUUUUUUAUAAUAAUAAAAGAUUUUCUUGUUGAUCAUCUUUGCAGCAAAUUAGAGCUUUCACUUCUUGCAGCCUCCCAUCUCACAUAAUCCUGGAGUCUGAGCUAGAGAGAAGAGAGUCCUUUUUUUUUUUUCUUGCUUCAGACAGGGCACUUGUUUUAUGAAUGUGGUAUCUGCCUUUGACAGGCAGCAGAUGUAUGGGAGCCCUGAAAUCUGAAACAAUAAAUACCAUUCAGAGUCUCACCACUGAACCUUCUUAUAGUACUGCCUUUGUUAAAUGAAACAUUUACAGGAAUACCAUCCCCCCCUUCCCACCCACCUUCAAGGCUAGGAUCUGAACCAUGUUUUUAAAGUAAAGGUUAAGUACCUGAGGCAUGAACAGUUGACAUACAAAAGAAACUAAAGUAAAUUUAUCAUUCGUUUGCCAGCUAUGAGGUGUGUCGAGGGCUUUUUCUUUCUCUUUGUAAUGCAUGAGAAAACAAACCUGGGAAGCGUAUGCAAGGAAUAUUUCUUUUCUACACUGGAAUGUUAACAUUUGCACCUUCUGACUUAAUACUGUGUAUUUCUUCAGAGUCAUCAAUCUCUUGAGAGUCAUCUUGCCAUCUGUACCAGCAUUGCUCCAGGCUUCCAUAUGAAAGUCCAAUCUGGCGGUAUAAAUACUGGAUAAUGAAGACAAUGGCAGAGUCUUUACGCUGCACACCACUGCUGACCCCAGAAGCGACCCACAGGAACUACUGGCAAAAGGAGUGAAAAGGUAUUUCAGCUUGUAGGCAUUAGAAACUCUCUUCAUUAAUAGCCUUUUUGCAGACUUUUCAGAUAGAUUUCCUGUCAUUGUGAUGAGGAUAUAUUUGUAACGAGUCCCUUAAGUAAAUGGCAGUGGAUAAUUAAUUGAACUAACUAGGACUUUCCAUACUGUAUUUUUUUUCUUUUUUUUUUUUCUUUUAUUUCCUUUUCUUUUUCUUUUCUUUCCCUUUUUUUUUUUUUUUUUUUUUUUGGGGUGGGAAGGAGGGAAGACUUCCAGAUGGUCUCAUGUCCUCUGUGCUGGGUGUACAGCUCUUUGCUAUCUGUUGGUCAAGUAUUUCAGCCCUAAUUCAAAUAAAACUCUUAGGCAUUCUAUUGAGGGAGAUAGAUUUUUUUGUUUUGGCUGGCAUCAGACUGAUGGCACUUCUCUGGGCAAGGGGGUUACUACCCUGAGCCUCAUCACACUGAAAAAUUGUUGCUGAACCUGAUCUUGCUGGAAGAGGCAGCUCAGAAAACAACAUUUGGGUCAGUACUGAUAUCCACACUUUUGAUUAUAUGACCAUAAUUCUGGUUAUAAUUCACCUUGUCACUCCCAUCAUGCAGACUCCAGUCUCCCAGACAUGUGACACCAGUGGAAAUCUACAGUGAAGCUAAAUUAGGCUUAUUAUUGUAUUUCAUUCUUAGAUUGCCUUCUUAGCACUGGCCUUCAGCCUCUUCAAUUAAAAGUUUGCAAACAUGCAUUCCUUAAGUAAUUUUUGACCUUCACAGCUGGUUAUGAGGCAACUGUAGUUGAAAUUUUUGAGCAAAAUCUAGUUCUCUCUCUCAAAGGCCUCCACUUUUUCAGUUUUGGAAAUGACUUUUAACUUUGGAAAUGACUAUUAAUUUUGCAGCUAUUGGGACAACUCUCCAAAGGAAAAAAAUUUCUUGAUGAACAUGCACAAUUUUCCUCUGCACGUCAAAGAGUUCAGAUUUUCACUCCACUUGUCAGAGACUACUGAUAAUUACUUUUAUUAACCAUCUCACAAAUAACAAAUGUGUGAGGUCAAAGAAGUCUCAUUUGAACUUUGUGGUUUCAUGUGUGAAAAAUAAAUGCAUUUAAGGGUAACCAUGAGUGCUGGGUAAGGAGCCAUAAUUUUCUCAGUAAAACAGAACCCAUUAAGAAGAUAAAGAUAUUGGGGUGCUGCUCAAGUUCUCCUGAGAUUGUGUUCUGACAAUUGUUUUCAGGUGUGUUUAAAACUACUUGUCUCUGUAUGCUGCUUUGAGGAAUAAAUAUGCUUUACUACGUCUUUAA